rnacentral:piRNA from 1 species
UAGGGAAUAGUUUAGCAACCUAGGGC